rnacentral:lncRNA from 1 species
CCCUUAAAAUCAAUAUCAACCAUUAUUCCCUUCACGACAUAAGAAGAAAUGCCACUUCACAUAUUAAAGAUAUCCAUUUUGAACUUGUUUAUACAUUAAAUCAUUACUCAAACAAUCUAGAAUUGUUACUGCCACUCUUGGCCAUUGUGCAGCUUUAAAGAUAGGUGCUCUAGCUCACCUCCCCACUUUAACAUCUCCACUCACUGUUUAUUCUGAAGCUAGAUACUUCAACUCUUCAUGGACAACAAUGGACUUCUUUGUGAAAGUGAUGAAAUCCCAAUAUGGGUUUGAUUUCACUGCAUAUAGUAAUCCAAAACCAACUUCAGGAGACUGGAUUGGAGUAUUUCUGACUGCAAAGUUUAGUGCUUCUACCUGCCUCGGAGAAAACAGGAUGUCGAAUCCCCCAUUGUGUUCUACACCUAUCAAAUAUCAGUAUGCAAAUUUCUCCAGUCAGAGUUACAUUUUGAGAUAUUAAUGAAAUGUUCCACAAAGAAAUCAGUCGCGAGUCACUAGAAUUCCACAGAGGCAAAAAUGCUAACCAAGCCCCUUUCAGUUAAACAUUCAUUAUCGACAAGCGCAAUGAUAAGCAGAAACCAGAGGAAUCAAACGUGAUUACUAAAUAAAGAGGGCAAUGAAGAAAUGCAGAAAGAAAUUAGUGUUGAUUGACAUCUUUUCAUUUACCCAUUUAUGAGCAGCAAGCAAGUUACAAUCAGACCAAGUUACAAAUAAGAUGACAUUAAACAGAUGCAAGGCAACAUUAUUAUAUCAGUUACAAUCAGCAAAUGAUGGACAGAAUAAUCAGGGAAUAAAAAGCCAUGGUGCGUUACUAAACCUCAAGGAGCAACCCAAGAGGUUUUCACAUAAAAAAUUCAACUAUUAUAAAAGAAAGUAACAUAUCACAUAACAAAAAAAUGGGAGGGGAAUACAGAUUUCACACGCAUCAUACAACAAUCAGAAAGAAAUCUAUUACGCAUAUCACACAGCUAUCAAAGAGCAAUGUAUAUACACACAUACCACACCUAAACACACAACAAGAAACCUGUUUUAACACACUCAUACCAGGCAAGGAACACCUACACAAGCACUCAGUAUAAAACACAGAGAGAUUCAGACAGAAGCAACACAUACCAGCAACUAAGAGAGACACCACACAGAAGAAUCUAUCACACAUACAACAUAGGCAAUCGCUACAGAAUACAAAACACGCUGAGAAAGAUAAAGAAAGAGAACUAUCUAUCACACACACGCAGAACACACAACAACCAGAAGACAUCAUACGCCUAAAAGAGGUAAUACACACACAAGCAAGAAAAAGGAAAGCUACCAUAUAUACCAAAACCCAUCAAUCAGAGAACAAAAGGCCAAGCAGAAUCAGCAAAGAGACAUUAACAACCAGAGGAAAAAGGAUCGGCAACGGGCAAGAAUAAGGACACAAAAAGACGGUAAUAGAAAAAUUGGUAAUAACUUUU